GAGAAACAGGUCCAUCUAGUGUGAACAACAGUACCAGUCUCCAGGGAGCUCUUCUCUGUCCGUAUAUUAGUUAUGACUGUACAUUGAUGCAAAUCUUUUUAUCAUUGAAUGUCUUCUUUAGAGAAUGUGAAGUAUGAAACAAGAAAACUAGUGCUAGUAAGAUGGACUAGCAGCUCACUGAGGGAUCAACUCACAUGCUGCACAGACAAGUCUAUGGAGAGAGAAAGGUUGAGGGGAGUGAGUGGAGAGAGAAAGAAGGAAGAAAAGGCUAAAAAAUAACUACAAAAGUUCCCUGAAAACACACCACCAUAAACUCUACAUAUAGUCAGUGCUUUCAAGAAAUCCAUUAGUAAUUAAAUCAUGGGCUUUAUCCAGAAUAUUCACAAUGAAGCGACUACACAUCAAAUAAUAAAGGACUGGUAAACAUUAAGCUUUCUCUACUUUCAUGGCAAAUUUCCAGCAUGGCUCGGUGAACAGAUGCCGCUUUCCAAAUCUACAGGAAAUAAAUCAUUUUGAAAAAGUGUUGCGUCAUUGUGAGCCCUUUAUAGUAAAUCUUUGCUCUUUUCAGCUGAAGCGUGCUCCAUAAAGCUAUUUAUGAGGUUCACCAAUAGAGAAUAGAUGUGGCUCUGUUCACAGGAAACGUGAUUUAAUGAAUUUGGGAAUGUGAAGACCGGAUUCGAGACUGUGACAUACAAUAAAGCCAG